GACGAACGCUGGCGGCGUGCUUAACACAUGCAAGUCGAACGGAAAGGCCCUGCUUUUGUGGGGUGCUCGAGUGGCGAACGGGUGAGUAACACGUGAGUAACCUGCCCUUGACUUUGGGAUAACUUCAGGAAACUGGGGCUAAUACCGGAUAGGAGCUCCUGCUGCAUGGUGGGGGUUGGAAAGUUUCGGCGGUUGGGGAUGGACUCGCGGCUUAUCAGCUUGUUGGUGGGGUAGUGGCUUACCAAGGCUUUGACGGGUAGCCGGCCUGAGAGGGUGACCGGCCACAUUGGGACUGAGAUACGGCGCAGAGUCCUACGGGAGGCAGCAGUGGGGAAUAUUGCACAAUGGGCGGAAGCCUGAUGCAGAAACGCCGCGUGCGGGAUGACGGCCUUCGGGUUGUAAACCGCUUUCGCCUGUGACGAAGCGUGAGUGACGGUAAUGGGUAAAGAAGCACCGGCUAACUACGUG
rnacentral:rRNA from 1 species